rnacentral:rRNA from 1 species
CCCUUAGUAAUGGCGAAUGAAACGGGAAGAGCCCAUUGCGUAACUGCAGGCCAUCUUGGUCUUGUGGAAUGUCGCGUUUGGGAUAGUCUCAUCAGGAGCUGGACCACCAGUCAAAGUCCAACUUGACAGUGGCCACUGCCCACAGAGGGUGAUAGGCCCGUAAGGCGGUGGUCCGCUCCUGCUGACUUUUCCCCAGAGUCGGGUUGCUUGGGAGUGCAGCCCAAAGUGCAAGGUAAACUCCUUGUAAGGCUAAAUACAACCCCAAGACCGAUAGCAAACAAGUACCGUGAGGGAAAAUUGAAAAGAACUUUGAAGAGAGAGUUCAAUAGUACGUGAAACUGUGUGGUGGUAAACAGAGGGGUUCUCGAAGUCUCUGUGGGGCACUCAACCUUGGUGGUGGGUGGGCUGGCCGUGUGUGAUCAGCAAUGACGCUAUGUCCAGCCUGGCCUGCCUCUCGGGUGCAUUUCCCCCACAGUUCACGGCAGGAACUGUUGGGCACUGGACCGAAGGCCUUGGGUGAAGUUGUUGCUUCUGGUGGCAGCCCCAGGUGUCCUGGCUCUGGGCCUGACAGGUACGUGAGAGGACUCGUAUAGCGAGCAAUGCUCUGUUGCGGUUCUCAUCUCUCUGCCGAGUAGGUCGGUGGCCCCUCUGACCCGUCUUGAAACACGGACCAAGGAGUCUAACAUGUAUGCAAGCCAUUGGGUUGGCUAAACCCAACGGCACAGUGAAAGCAAAGAGCAGCCUGUCUGACUGAGGGACGAUCCCCUCUCUUUUGGGGGGGGGGGCGCAGUCCCGCGACUUCCAAUCAACCUUGCAUUGUUGGGAGUACGCAGAGCAU